GAAGAGUUCCUGCUGAAUCGAUGUGGAUGUCACAAUGCUGCCCACCAUACUUCACAGGGUGUCUGUAAGAGCCUCCAGACCAAGAACAUUCUGAAUACCACAAUGCAAGCUGGAAGCCAGCUGAAGACACAGAAUGAAAUACACAGACAUGGGCUAGCUAGCCUCAAAUGCUUGAAUAUCACGCUGCUGAAGCCUGAUGAGAGACCUAAAAGAUCUGCAAGAUUGUCUCGUAUGGGUACAGAACCUCUCUCCCAUAAGAAGCUAGACUACAUCUAAGUACAGUGCUAAAUCUGGGGCUGAUUUAGAAGGGAUUAAGAGCCUAUUCUACAUUUGGUUCAAUCAUUUUUAUCUUUCAUUUAUGAGAAAAAGAUCAGAAAACUACAGAAGAGGUUCAGAGAAGUUAACUUGUCCAAGAUAUUUGUUUCACCUGGCA